rnacentral:sRNA from 1 species
GCUGGGCAUGGUGGCGCCCACCUGUAAUCCCAGUGACAGGGGAGGCUGAGGCAGGAGGAUCACAAGUUCAAGGCCAGCCCCAGCAACUAAGCAAGGCCCUAAGCAAUUUAGUGAGACCCUGCCUCAA